UCAGGAUAAACGCUGGCGGCGUGCUUAACACAUGCAAGUCGAACGGAGUAAUCCUCCCGAAGACCUGACGAGCUUGCUCAGAUGGAAUUCAUUGGAUACUUAGUGGCGGACGGGUGAGUAACGCGUGGGUAACCUGCCCUAUACUGGGGGAUAGCAGUUGGAAACGACUGAUAAUACCGCAUAAGCGCACAGGACCGCAUGGUCUAGUGUGAAAAACUCCGGUGGUAUAGGAUGGACCCGCGUCUGAUUAGCUAGUUGGCGAGGUAACGGCCCACCAAGGCGACGAUCAGUAGCCGGCCUGAGAGGGUGUACGGCCACAUUGGGACUGAGACACGGCCCAAACUCCUACGGGAGGCAGCAGUGGGGAAUAUUGGACAAUGGGGGAAACCCUGAUCCAGCGAACCGCCGCGUGAGCGAUGAAGUAUUUCGGUAUGUAAAGCUCUAUCAGCAGGGAAGAUAAUGACGGUACCUGACUAAGAAGCACCGGCUAAAUACGUGCCAGCCGCAGC
rnacentral:rRNA from 1 species